GUGGGGAAUAUUGCGCAAUGGGCGAAAGCCUGACGCAGCGACGCCGCGUGAGGGAUGAAGGUUUUCGGAUCGUAAACCUCUGUCAGAAGGGAAGAAACUACGUUGUGCUAAUCAGCAGCGUACUGACGGUACCUUCAAAGGAAGCACCGGCUAACUCCGUGCCAGCAGCCGCGGUAAUACGGAGGGUGCAAGCGUUAAUCGGAAUUACUGGGCGUAAAGCGCACGUAGGCUGUAGUGUAAGUCAGGGGUGAAAUCCCACGGCUCAACCGUGGAACUGCCUUUGAUACUGCACAACUUGAAUCCGGGAGAGGGUGGCGGAAUUCCGGGUGUAGGAGUGAAAUCCGUAGAUAUCCGGAGGAACACCGGUGGCGAAGGCGGCCACCUGGACAGGUACUGACGCUGAGGCGCGAAAGCGUGGGGAGCAAACAGGAUUAGAUACCCUUGUAGUCC
rnacentral:rRNA from 1 species